rnacentral:rRNA from 1 species
GGGGAAUAUUGCACAAUGGAGGAAACUCUGAUGCAGCGACGCCGCGUGAACGAUGAAGGCUUUCGGGUCGUAAAGUUCUGUCCUAGGGGACGAUAAUGACGGUACCCUAGGAGGAAGCCCCGGCUAACUACGUGCCAGCAGCCGCGGUAAUACGUAGGGGGCAAGCGUUGUCCGGAUUUAUUGGGCGUAAAGGGUUCGCAGGUGGUCCUUUAAGUCAGAUGUGAAAGAUCACAGCUCAACUGUGGUAAGCAUUUGAAACUGAAGGACUUGAGUUAAGGAGAGGAAAGUGGAAUUCCUAGUGUAGCGGUGAAAUGCGUAGAUAUUAGGAGGAAUACCAGUGGCGAAGGCGACUUUCUGGACUUAUACUGACACUGAGGAACGAAAGCGUGGGGAGCAAAC